rnacentral:rRNA from 1 species
ACGGGGCUAAACCAUGCACCGAAGCUGCGGCAGCGACGCUGAUGCGUUGUUGGGUAGGGGAGCGUUCUGUAAGCCUGCGAAGGUGGCCUGUGAGGGUUGCUGGAGGUAUCAGAAGUGCGAAUGCUGACAUAAGUAACGAUAAAGCGGGUGAAAAGCCCGCUCGCCGGAAGACCAAGGGUUCCUGUCCAACGUUAAUCGGGGCAGGGUGAGUCGACCCCUAAGGCGAGGCCGAAAGGCGUAGUCGAUGGGAAACGGGUUAAUAUUCCCGUACUUGGUGUUACUGCGAAGGGGGGACGGAGAAGGCUAUGUUGGCCGGGCGACGGUUGUCCCGGUUUAAGCGUGUAGGUGUGUGUUCCAGGUAAAUCCGGUUCACUUUAACACUGAGGCGUGACGACGAGGCACUACGGUGCUGAAGCAACAAAUGCCCUGCUUCCAGGAAAAGCCUCUAAGCAUCAGGUAACAUCAAAUCGUACCCCAAACCGACACAGGUGGUCAGGUAGAGAAUACCAAGGCGCUUGAGAGAACUCGGGUGAAGGAACUAGGCAAAAUGGUGCCGUAACUUCGGGAGAAGGCACGCUGACACGUAGGUGAAGUGAUUUACUCAUGGAGCUGAAGUCAGUCGAAGAUACCAGCUGGCUGCAACUGUUUAUUAAAAACACAGCACUGUGCAAACACGAAAGUGGACGUAUACGGUGUGACGCCUGCCCGGUGCCGGAAGGUUAAUUGAUGGGGUCAGCGCAAGCGAAGCUCCUGAUCGAAGCCCCGGUAAACGGCGGCCGUAACUAUAACGGUCCUAAGGUAGCGAAAUUCCUUGUCGGGUAAGUUCCGACCUGCACGAAUGGCGUAAUGAUGGCCAGGCUGUCUCCACCCGAGACUCAGUGAAAUUGAACUCGCUGUGAAGAUGCAGUGUACCCGCGGCAAGACGGAAAGACCCCGUGAACCUUUACUAUAGCUUGACACUGAACAUUGAGCCUUGAUGUGUAG